rnacentral:misc_RNA from 1 species
GAUGAAGAACGUAGCGAAAUGCGAUAAGUAGUGUGAAUUGCAGAAUUCAGUGAAUCAUCGAAUCUUUGAACGCACAUUGCGCCCCUUGGUAUCCCGAGGGGCAUGCCUGUUCGAGCGUCAUUUCACCACUCAAGCCUGGCUUGGUGUUGGGCGACGUCCCCUUUAGGGACGCGCCUCGAAACGCUCGGCGGCGUGGCACCGGCUUUAAGCGUAGCAGAAUCUUUCGCUUUGGAAGUCGGGGCCCCGCCUGCCGGAAUACCUACUCGUAAGGUUGACCUCGGAUCAGGCAGGGAUACCCGCUGAACUUAAGCAUAUCAAUAAGCGGAGCA